UACGGGGAGGAACACUAAGGAAAGGAAAGGAAAGGAAACAAAAGACACGUCCAACGUCCCUUCCUCCGGUCGACGACGAGGAUGACGAAGCCCACCUGCUCCUGCUCGGGAGGGAGUAGCGACGACGCCGACGGAUGAGGGAGGAGGAUGGGGCCGCUGCUCCACAUACCGCGGCCGUGCCGGCACGAGCUCGCGGAGGUCCUGGGGCGUCUCCUCUUAGUUCCGCACCGCGGAGGACCUGAGGCAGGCAGCGGUGAAACAGCUGCUGCAGGGACGGCGGCCCGUCCUUCCCUCCUGCACUCGACGGCGGAACCAAGGACAGGCGUGGUCGGCGGUGUCAUACGGACGUUCCUCCUGUAACAUUAAACCAGGUUGUUCUACGUCCAUGUACUGUGAUAACACAACAGACGUCUCCAAGAGUAAGACUUUCUUUGACGUUGAUACGUUCUCGAAUAACUGCCUCUAAUACUUUAAACGUCAAGUUCAAGACCUGUAGUCUAACCUAUAUGAAAUGAUUUCCACGUGGUUAGCCGGGAGGUAGAGGAUCCUAACUACGCAGUACGAGCCCGUUAUUAUCAGGUUCGAAGUAGCACAUUAUUCGAGUGGACGCACGUGUCAGACUAACGAUGAUAGAUGAGAAUACAUCUCUUCGCUCCGGAAAAGUAUAAACUCCUUCUUACAGUACGUUGGUUCUUCUUAUCCUACCCAUAAGAUCAUUAGGACACCUAAUCAGAGAUAUCAACAACCGCCGGAUAUUUCGUCUCCUUAAACAACCAGAGCUCCUAACAAGGUCCUUCGUGAAGACUACUGUUGUACUGCAACCCGGAGCCCCUGUACCAGAGUUUGAACACGUCACGGGCGGCCCAGUGCGAGUCGUCGUUGCCACGUGCCGCUACCCUUUCUUCGUCCCCACCGCCCUAGUAGUGGUCACCCCAGUAGCCCCUCUUCUACCUCCGUCUAUUCUUUCCUUGCCCGAGCCAACCCACACCUUUCCUCUUACUCUCUCUGUUGCUACUACACUUACAAUGUUACUGUAGACGUGUAGCAGCGAAGAAUAGAGGGUCGGCGGUGGACGUGUCCCGUGUGAGGCUGGUACGUUGGCGGUUCCAGCGACUGGUGUAACACGUGCAGAUGCGGUAGCUGGAGCCGCCUGCCACGGCGUUACAAGCAGUCAUACAGGCCAACCAGCUCCUCGCGGUUCCUUCACCCGGCUCCCCCGCACCCCCGCCGCCGUCUUCGUCGUACCCACAGGAUGCGUUCAAUGUCUUGUUAUCCUUUCCUACCUCCGUUCUACCCCGGUAUCUCGGGGGAAAACGCGUCCUCCCUCAUCCAGAGUCGGCUUCCGUUGUUAAUACCGACGAAGGUCUCGGAUUCGGUGGACGCCUCAGUUACAGUACCAGCGGGGUCUCGCCUUAGGUAGCGGAUCCGGUGUUCUCAUCCUCGACGACAGCAUCUCCAGUCCUGGUUCGAAAUCCGUCCUUUCACCCUGUUAGAAGUCUUUUUGGUUGUCCUUAUAAAAAGAAUCUUUAGGGUUCCUUUUUAUUCAAACCAUAGACGAUGUUACCUUUAGAAAACUAACAAAACAUGUAUAUAAUAGUACCUACGGUUUAUCGUCCAACGAAGUUUGGUCCCCUUGACCGACAACCGCGGUGGCCCGUUGUUCUCUUUCUCCAUCCGUACCUCGAACGCACGGACAGCCGUCGCGUGUCUCCCACGUCCUCCGGUCCCUCGAUGCGAUGUUGUGUUGAUUGACGAUGAGCACAACGGUAGAGCACGAGUACCAUACGGAGACGUUAACGGCUGCUGGCGCGACAACUACAGGGACGCAGUAGGUUAAGAGCAAGUUUAGGUAGUGAACGCACGACGCCCAGGACCUGUACCGCACCUGUUACCGCGCUACCGCCCCGCGUGCGAACAGCGGCGAGGUCGCGGCAGUCGGUGUGGGCGAAGCCGCCGAGCGGGGAUAUAGGUAAACAACCGGGCACCUAUAAUCCCUCUUCGAAAAGAGGUGUAUAGCUUAAAGUGGAAUUAGCAUGGCUAAUGUUUCCGCCAUUCGUAUCGCCGGAACUGUUUUUGUUCAGACUAGGAGAGUUCGGUCUAAAGGAUGUUUCACUCCUACUAACCCCUCAGGUGGAGGCGGACAACAAUGGCACGUGGCGGUUUCUGCGGCUCCGGGUGGUAAGUACCUAGUAGCGACGCGCGUCCCCAUUUUAACACUUCGGAGACGCUGCGAGGGUGUAGCAAUCGAACCACUUUUCUAAAUUGAGUUCUCCUUGGGUCCUCCUGGUUUCUCUCCAGCGCGUUCCUCUUUUAGGGACGGUUUCUUCUUUCGACGUAUACAGCUAGCCCAGUAACGUCUUUCCGCGGUGCUCUUGAGCAGAACAAGGAGACUUUGUUGUACUUCGACGUCAGUGAGGAUCUAGCCCUCUUUGAGGCACU
rnacentral:rRNA from 1 species